ACAGGCGGCGGGCGGUGACUGCCGCGAGGCCUGCAGAGACCGCCCGCUCGGCUCGCCCGAGCUCGCCCGCUGUCCGCUAGCCUGCUGGAGGCAGGAGAGAAGCGGAGCGCUUCCGCGGUUGGCACUCAGUGUCUUGGUCUCAACUUGCCUCUUUGCGGCAGGCGUUCCCAAUACAGACGCAUCAUUUCUUUUUUAAUACUUCCUAAGACACGGAAUAACCUUCAAGCUGGCGGGACCAAUGGUUCACAUAAAGAAAGGCGAGCUGACCCAGGAGGAGAAGGAGCUGCUGGAAGUCAUCGGGAAAGGUACUGUCCAAGAAGCUGGAACAUUAUUAUCCAGCAAGAAUGUUCGUGUCAACUGUUUGGACGAGAAUGGAAUGACUCCUCUAAUGCAUGCAGCAUAUAAAGGAAAACUCGAUAUGUGCAAAUUACUACUGAGACAUGGAGCCGACGUAAAUUGUCAUCAACAUGAACAUGGAUACACAGCCCUCAUGUUUGCUGCACUUUCUGGUAAUAAAGACAUCACAUGGGUAAUGUUGGAAGCUGGUGCUGACACAGAUGUUGUCAACUCCGUGGGAAGAACAGCAGCUCAGAUGGCAGCCUUUGUGGGUCAACAUGAUUGUGUGACCAUAAUCAACAAUUUCUUUCCUCGAGAGAGACUGGAUUAUUACACUAAGCCCCAGGGACUGGAUAAAGAGCCAAAACUGCCCCCAAAGUUGGCAGGCCCGCUGCACAAAAUUAUCACCACAACGAAUCUUCACCCUGUCAAGAUCGUGAUGCUUAUAAAUGAGAAUCCUCUGCUGACAGAAGAAGCAGCCCUGAAUAAAUGCUACAGAGUGAUGGAUUUGAUUUGUGAGAAAUGUAUGAAGCAAAGAGACAUGAAUGAAGUAUUGGCUAUGAAAAUGCAUUACAUAAGCUGUAUCUUUCAGAAAUGCAUUAACUUCUUAAAAGAUGGAGAGAAUAAACUGGACACCUUGAUCAAAAGCUUGUUAAAAGGCCGAGCUUCUGAUGGCUUUCCAGUAUAUCAAGAAAAGAUCAUUAGAGAAAGUAUCAGAAAAUUUCCUUACUGUGAAGCUACACUCCUCCAGCAGCUGGUUCGAAGCAUUGCUCCUGUUGAAAUUGGUUCUGAUCCCACUGCAUUCUCCGUCCUUACCCAAGCCAUCACUGGCCAGGUGGGUUUUGUGGAUGUGGAAUUUUGCACUACCUGUGGAGAAAAGGGAGCAAGUAAGCGAUGUUCAGUUUGCAAAAUGGUAAUAUAUUGUGAUCAAACCUGCCAGAAAACACACUGGUUUACUCAUAAGAAAAUCUGUAAGAAUCGGAAGGACAUUUACGAGAAGCAACAAUUAGAGGCUGCCAAAGAAAAGAGACGAGAGGAGAAUCACCACAAACUUGAUGUCAAUUCUAACUGUGUUAGUGAAGAGCAACCAGACGAUGAAGUGGGUGUCUCCCAAAAGGAUUCCAACCCUAAAGAUUCCGGGGAAGAAGAGAAAGAAUCUCUUGAAAGUGAGGCUGGGUUGGAAGGCUUACAGGAAGCUCCUGCAGGUCCACAGGUAUCCGAGGAGUAAAAGCCAGAGCAAGUGCUAGUGCGGAUGGUCCUCACCCUGCAGGGAGCUGGGAACUCAUGGGAAUGCGUCCUCCUCGCCUCAUUAUACCUGCAUGUCACCAUGGCAGGAUUCCUCAUUUCAUAGAAUAGAGGUUUUCAAGCAAAACCCUCUUGGCCAUGCCCUAAUUUCCUAUUGAUUUCUGUUCUAUAAUUGAAUGGAUAUUCCUAUGGAAAUUUUUUUGUCUCAAAAUACAGGAAAAACAUUCCUAUUACCUUUCUGAGGCUGGCUUUCCAGCAAUUGUUUCAAAGGAAAAUAGAUCCCCUUAAAGAAAAAAUAUAGGGUUUAGAGAACAAAGUGACAAGCAGAGCAGGUGUGAAAGAGAGAUUUUCAGGAAAGAAAAAAUUUAUAGCUACAGAGAUGGGUAGUUAGAGAAAUCAUAACUUAUAUGUGAAUGAAAUACAUAUAAACAGCAUUUACUGUAGUGACAUUCUACUUAUUAAAGUGCAAUGAAAUGAAGAAAAGCUAUAUGUUCAAGGACCCUUGCCAUAGUUCAGCUAAUUGUAGUUUUAUAUAGAAACUACAGUUUCUGUAUAGUAUACUGAUCCUGAACAGUCUGAACUGUACGUAGUCCUGCAGUGAUGUUCUGUCUGCAGUAUUUGUACCUCCAGGAUGGCAGACCCCUCAGCAGGAACAAAGGCUAUUGACGGUUCUCUCAGCAUGUGCAUUAAAAAAGGAUUGAAAUGGUGCCAUCUUGGCUCACAGCGACCUCCACCUCCCAGGUUCAAGUGAUUCUCCUCCUUCAGCUUCCCAAGAAGCUGAGAUUACAGAUCCAGCAGAUAAUCAACUAACAGCCAGGUGCCCUUUUAGGACUGAUAAGAAACAUUUUACAACCUGUUCUCUCUCAAGUCUAUCUGAGAGAUUCCUCUGCACAGCACAAUAAAACUUAAUCUCCACAAUCCUUUAUCUUUAACCUGAACAUUCCUUUCUAUGGAUCCCAGAGUUUUAGACAAAGUCAACCAACUGUCAGCUAGAAAAUGUUAAAAUUUACCAAUAGCCUGGAACCCCCUGCUUUGAGUUGUCCCGCCUUUCUGAACCAAACCAAUGUAUUUCUUAAAUGUAUUUGAUUGAUGUCUUAUGCCUCUCUCAAAUGUAUACAACCAAGCUGCACUGGGACCACCUUGGGCACAUAUCUUAGGACCUCCUGAGGGCUAUCAUGGGCCAUGGUCACUCAUAUUUGGCUUAGAAUAAACCUCUUCGAAUAUUUUACAGAGCUUGUCUCCUUUCGUUGACAGAUUGCCAUUAUUUUUGUCGCAAAAACCAACACAAGGUAUUUUUGCACCUAUUUACUGAUGUUUAUUUUUAAAAAACCUCAUAUUUAAAAUUGGAAUAGGGAAUGGUUAUGUAAAUUUUGAAAAUAUCAAAGCAUAAUUUCUAUGGACAAAGACAAUAUCUUAAUUUAGUAAAAAGAAACUUUCUUCUUCUCAUAAUUAUUUCAGUAGAUGAGCAGAUUUUACCCCCAAAGGUAGCUCUAUCCUGGUUCACAGGGCUGGUUGUAUAUAUCCUUUGAAGUCCUAGUUUUAUAAACAGCCAAAGGCAAAUGGUGAUCAUACUUUGCAGCAAAUAAAUUAGCUAGCUACAUAAUUGACCAUUUCAGGGGAAUGUAGCUAGCUAAUUCAAAUACUCAUACAAAACCACUUUAUCUGAUGAGAUUCCAAAUGGUUAAGAUUUUAAUGUGGAAAAAAUAAUCCCAGGAGAAAACAUGAGAAACCCAGAAACCACAAAAGGAAAUAAAUUUGGCUACAUUUAAAACAUAAUCUGAAUAUUUUUGCUCUUGGGAAGGUGGAGUGGACAUACUUUUCACUAUUAUUCCCACUAAGGAAAGCUAAAAACCCUGAGCAAUUGUAUAUUAAAAAAAUAUAAGAAGGCCCUGAAAGUUGGAGAGGUAGUAGACUGGCUAGGGAUCCUGGACCCAGCGGUUCCAUGUAGCAACACCUACUGAGUUCUCUGGCUUUUCUUCCUGCCUCACAUAGCCCAGACUUGGAGCUAAAGAAGCUGGAAAAUGGAAACACCAACAGCUACAGACCAAAAAAAGUCCCAACAAAGGCCUGCCAGUCUGCCAGCCUGUCCUGUGGAUUUCCAAAUCAUUGCAGCAUCAACUCAUACCUGAAGCUCUGGCUGCUCUACCAACUUUGAAUUUGCCAGUCCCCACAACGGCAUAAACCAAUUCCUUAAAAUAAAUCUCUAGUUCUACAUA